GGAGAGAUGGCUCAGUGGUUAAGAGCACUGGCCUUUCUUCCAGAGGUCCUGAGUUCAAUUCCCAGCAACUACA
rnacentral:tRNA from 1 species